rnacentral:lncRNA from 1 species
CAGUUUCUCUCAAGAUCCAAUUGAAAGUAAAACUAAGAAAACUAAAAACCCUAGAAAGAAGUUAAAGUUUCUCUCCCUAAAAUUCAAAACUCAAAAACUAAGCUAAAGUGUAAGUGUCUCUGUCCCAGCUCCAUUCCGUGUGUAUUGUCUUCAUUUUCGGGCAUGAAACUGGGCCAAAAUCAGCCCAGAAAUCACCCCCAGCGUAUUCCCUUUAUUGCAACAGAUGACGCUCAUCACGCGCACGUGUCAGCCACACGUACGUGUUGGUGGGCUUUGCAUUAGCCACGCGUACGCAUCAGUCACGUGUAUGCGUCAGUGGACGACGCUCCUAGUUACGCAUACGCAUCAGUCACGAGUACGCGUCGCUUGGAAGAUGGCUUGAUCAUGAGUACACUUUAGCCAUGCGUACGCGUUGCUCUAUAAAUCCUGUAAUCACUUAACGCACAAAUCACGACAUCGAAUGGUAACAAGAGAGAAUUAAAAUUUAGUAAUUUUAAGGCCUAGGAAGCAUGUUUUCAAUCAUAGUACAAAAUUCGGAAGGAAACUUAAAAGCUUGCAAAUUAUAUGGAUAAGUGUAAGUAAAGUUGAUAGAAUCCACUCGAUUUGAUCCAAAAUAAGUCAUAAAAUAGUGGUUCAUGAAGCAAUAAUGAAUAAAUCAACAACAAUCAAAAGUAAUUAAGAAAGUAAUUUGAGUAAAAAUGGUAAGGUUUAAAGAUGCUAAAUUCUGAGGAUCAAUGGUUCUUACUCCUACCUCGGUCAUGCAAAGAUAGAUCUCUGGCAAAUCAUAAGUAAUUAAAUCCGAAUUCCUUGGUGAUUCAAUUUUUCUUGACUUAAUCAAUUGCCAAUUCCUUGAUCCAUUGCUCAAUAAAAGAGGUGAAGCACAUUCUUUGAUUCAAAAUCACACAAAUCUAAAAAUCUAAAUAUGGUUUAUUCAAUGUUACUUAUCAAAUCAAGAUCUAAAAUCAUAAGAAUAGUAAGAAAGAGUUUUCAAGAUCAAUUACUAUGAUCCACUCUUCCAAGUUAAUCAUAGAACUCAAAUCAGAUUCAAACUAUUUUUCAAUAGAUAUGAAUCCUUGUGAUGAAGAAUGAAAACUCUUUAUUAGAAACAACAAUGCAUGAAAUAGAGGAAGAGAGGCAAUAACAUCAAUCCAUUAAUUUAAUAGAGCUCCUACCUUAACUAAGGAAAUAAUGACUCAUAAUGAUAGCAAAAUUCCAAAUCUGAAUAAUUCGGUAAAAGAUAUUCAAAAUGCAAAAGAUUAAAAAGCACCCGUCAAAGUGUUCUCUCUGGGCUUUUAUACUUCUAACCUAAUUAAACUAAAAUUCAAAUUCAAAUUAAAUUCAAGUUACAUCAAAUUCACUUUUUUCAUAAAUCAUGCACUAGUUGUGAUUCCUCCCUGUGAUUG